rnacentral:lncRNA from 1 species
CCGCUUCUUGCAAUAUAAGCAUUCUGUCUGACUUUGAUCGAUCUUGGGCUUUUUUCGUCUGACCAGGCUGAGAUGUCCCAACACUUCACACCUUGUUCUUCUUCCCUUUCUUAAAGAGUCGAUGCCUAGAAAAAGACCCUCCCACUAAGUUCAUCGACUUAUUUUGGAGCUGGUGAUCCUUCUCAAAGUUCUAUAGCAACCCCAGCAAAUCAUAGUAGUUUACUGCAGGCCUUAUCAUUCUAAAAUAAGUAAGAAAUGGGAGGUACGAUUUAGGCAAAAAGUUCAAAAUUGCAUCUUUCCUAAGGUGUUCAUGCAAGAGAAACUCGAGCUUGCUCAAGCAUUCAAUUAACUCAAUCAUAUAGAGUACAUGAUCAGUAACUGACGUCCCUUUCCUCAUCCAGAUGUUGAAGAUAGCACAACUAGUCUUGUGCCUCUCAACAUUGUCAGGAGUGCCAAAGAACUCAUUCAAUAUUUGAAGCAUAUCCCCCGGCUAAGCAUUCUCAAACCUAUGACUGAACUCAUUGCUCAUCACUGCCAGCAUGAUGCAGUGUACAGUAGUUCGAUCAUUGAGCCACUUUUGGUAAGUAUCUCGGAUCGUACCAUGAGCAUUCGAGACUGGCUCCUCAGGUGUUGGAUCUGUUAGAAUGUAUAAGAUCCACUCGUACUCCAGGACUAUCUUUAAUUUUUGAUACCAGCUAUCGAAAUUGGAUUUCAUUAGCUUAUCGCUAUCCAAUAGUAAUCGGAGUGACAAAGAAGUGGCCAUAUCUGAAAGAAAAAAUAAAAUCUAAUUAGUAUAUGAAUUAAUUAAGCCUAAAGACUUGAAUUUUAGUCUAAAGAUUCUUCCACUAUUUUAUACGAAUUGAUAGCC